ACGGUACAGAGUCAAUGUGGAGGCUAUAUACAGGGUGUUACGGUACAGAGUCAAUGUGGAGGUUAUAUACAGGGUAUUACGGUACAGAGUCAAUGUGGAGGCUAUAUACAGGGGGUACCAGUACAGAGUCAAUGUGGAGGCUAUAUACAGGGGGUACCAGUACAGAGUCAAUGUGGAGGCUAUAUACAGGGGAUACCAGUACAGAGUCAAUGUGGAGGCUAUAUACAGGGUAUUACGGUACAGAGUCAAUGUGGAGGCUAUAUACAGGGGGGUACCGGUACAGAGUCAAUGUGGAGGCUAUAUACAGGGGGUACCGGUACAGUGUCAAUGUGGAGGCUAUAUACAGGGUAUUACGGUACAGAGUCAAUGUGGAGGCUAUAUACAGGGUAUUACGGUACAGAGGCAAUGUGGAGGCUAUAUACAGGGUAUUACGGUACAGAGUCAAUGUGGAGGCUAUAUACAGGGGGGUACCGGUACAGAGUCAAUGUGGAGGCUAUAUACAGGGGGUACCGGUACAGUGUCAAUGUGGAGGCUAUAUACAGGGUAUUACGGUACAGAGUCAAUGUGGAGGCUAUAUACAGGGUAUUACGGUACAGAGUCAAUGUGGAGGCUAUAUACAGGGUAUUACGGUACAGUGUCAAUGUGGAGGCUAUAUACAGGGUAUUACGGUACAGAGUCAAUGUGGAGGCUAUAUACAGGGGGGUACCAGUACAGAGUCAAUGUGGAGGCUAUAUACAGGGGGUACCGGUACAGAGUCAAUGUGGAGGCUAUAUACAGGGGGUACCGGUACAGAGUCAUUGUGGAGGCUAUAUA